rnacentral:lncRNA from 1 species
UUGUUCUUAAUGAUGAACUAUAAGAUGAGAAACGAGAUUAUAUUAAAAUUGUUUCAGAUUUGCAGUUAGCUCUUAGUUUAACGUAAGAGAAAUAUGAUAAAGGGUGGAUGUCCAAAAGUCGAUUAUCAAAAGAGUACGAAGAUGGAGUCGAAUCUUUCUUCAAUUUUGCAAUUGCAAAUGGAAAAGAUCCUAACUCUAUGCCUUGACCGUGUGUAAAGUGUAGUAAUCUUUUUCACUGGCCUGUCAACAUCAUAAGAGCGCAUCUUACAUAUAAUGGAAUAGAUUUAACAUACGCUAGUUGAAUCUUUCACAGGGAGAGAUAUAGAUCUCGCACAACUGAUAAAGAUGAAGGGAGUACCAGUGAAGAUAUAUGAGGCUGAUCUUUUCUUCCUCUUCUGUGAAACAUUGAGUUGUUUGCCGCUAUCACAAUUUGAUCUUCAGAGGGUCAGAGCUUUGUCUCCUUCCCAUGUCUUAAAAUAUUUUUCUUAUUCAUGGUUUGUUUGACUAGAGGUCAAAGCAAUUUUUUUUUUUGAGGGAGAGGUCAAAGCAACUUUAUAUGAUGAUGAUUGCAUAAUACUUAUGAAUAGAUUGAGAUACUAUUUUUUUUAUUUUUGUUUGAGAUACCACUUAUUAGUUACUCCCUCUGUCCACUAAUUAUUGGCCUAGGAGGCAAAACACGAAUUUUAAGCAAAAAUGUAUUUUUAUUAGUUAAGUGGAGGAAGGGACCCAUAAUUUAUUAAAGUCAAUGCAAUUAGGC